AACGAACGCUGGCGGCAGGCUUAACACAUGCAAGUCGAGCGCCCCGCAAGGGGAGCGGCAGACGGGUGAGUAACACGUGGGAAUCUACCCAUCCCUGCGGAACAACUACGGGAAACUGGAGCUAAUACCGCAUACGCCCUACGGGGGAAAGAUUUAUCGGGGAUGGAUGAGCCCGCGUUGGAUUAGCUAGUUGGUGGGGUAAAGGCCUACCAAGGCGACGAUCCAUAGCUGGUCUGAGAGGAUGAUCAGCUACAUUGGGACUGAGACACGGCCCAAACUCCUACGGGAGGCAGCAGUGGUGAAUAUUGGACAAUGGGCGCAAGCCUGAUCCAGCCAUGCCGCGUGAGUGAUGAAGGCCUUAGGGUUGUAAAGCUCUUUCACCGAUGAAGAUAAUGACGGUAGUCGGAGAAGAAGCCCCGGCUAACUUCGUGCCAGCCGCCGCAGUAAAAC
rnacentral:rRNA from 1 species